GGACUUCCGGCGUCCUGGGGGCGUUAGUUCUUUUGAAACGUGUUUCUUUUCUGUUCACAGGCUUCCCUUGCCCGCGACCUUUCAGAACUUCCGAGAGAAUCACCAUAAAGAGGCAUCCGUGACCUUCAAGGACGUGGCAGUGACCUUUACCUAGGACGAGUGGGGGCAGCUGGAUGCUGCCCAGAGGAGCCUGUACUGGGAGGUGAUGCUGGAGACCUGUGGGAUAUCCGGUUCCCAAACCAGAUCUAAUCCACCCACUGAAGCACAGGCAGGAGCUGUGGGUGGUGAAGAGAAGCCUCUCCCAAAGUGCCUGUCCAGGAGGAAGCAUGAGAAGCCUCCGAAGUUGCAGGAGAAGAUGUGAUUUAGUCUCUGGUGCAGGAAGUAGCUACGGCAGGGGGCGAGACCUCUUCCAAAGUUGGGAAGUGAAGCUACAGGUAUGAGACAGAUAACAGAUGCUCUGUAAGGUUGAGCAGCAAGAAAGAAGGCCAUGAAGUAGGUUGUAUGCUGAGACAUCAGUGGCUCAGGGAGUGAGUGGUGAAUGGAUGGAUCAAUGCUUGCAUGGGUGGCAGAGCUGGUGCAGGAGAGAGAGCUGAUCAGAAGAAACACAGAGCAGAUGUGAGCCAACCAGUUAGAAGUGUUUUGGCGGCAUCUUGGCAAAAGAUGAUGAGAGCUUAGAGCAGGAUGUUCGUGGUGGAACCCAUGGAGGUGGUAAAGAUGAUGGAUUCAUGCAAUAUGGAAAACAAAAUAAGCAUGAUGAUGGUGGCUGAAUGUUGGGUUAGAGGAGGCACAGUGUUACGAGUUUGCACAAGGUCCCACCUUCUCAACUCUCUGAAAAACAGGGCCAUCUACUGAAACUGUGGAGGAUGGAGGAGUGGGCAAGAUCAUUAUUUCCUUCUUAUGCAUGAAGAAUUCGAUGGAACAUGUGGGAUAUAAUGCAAAAGUAAGUAGUUGGAAGAGGCUGUCGGGCUGAGGAGGGGGUUAGAGACACAUCAACUGACUGAGCUGUGCAAGGAAGCAGAAGAGGGGCAAGAACAUUACUCUGCAGUAGUGCCAAUCUAGACACUUGAUGACUCCAACUAUUCUCAGCAGCCCAGAUGUGGGCCAGACAAAGCCAAGUGUCAUCUUGAGGUUUUACAGUAGAGAGCCAGGAAGAUAAUGCAGCUAGGGAUUGCUUCUAUCUGACAAAUGUGAAGAUAGAUGAAUGAAUGGCUGGAAAAGGGUGGGAUGCAGAGCAUAGGCAGAGAUAGUAAAAUAGGAAAAUGAUACCCCAAAGGAAGACAAUAAUUUGCCAGUUACCAGUCGAAAAGAAAUUGAGAUCUAUGAAUAGAUGCACAAAGAAUUGAAAAAUAAUCAUCUCAAAAAAACUAUGAGCUAAAACAGACAACAAAAUCAGAAAAACAAUACGUGAUCAAAAUAAGUUAAAUGAACAGACAGAAACUUUAACAUACAACCAAACAUAUAUUCUGGAGCUGAGAAUAUAAUGAUGAAUCAAAAAUUCCAUAGAAAGCUUUAACAGAAGAUUUGAUCAUGCAGGAGAACCAAUGAAUUCAAAGACAGAUCAUUUGAAAUUAUACAGUUGGGGGAGGGGAAGAAAGAAUGAUAAAGAGUGAAGAAAGCCUAUGAGACUUUUAAGAACCAAUAUAUGCAUUGCGGCAGGGAGGGUGGGGUGGGGUGUAAGACCCCUCAUGAUGGAAUUAGUGUCCUUAUAAGAAGAGCUCUCUCUCUCCUCCAUGUGAAAUGUGAAGACACAGCAAGAAGGUAGCCAGCUGCAAUCCAAAGACAGAGUUCUCACCAGACACCCACCCUCCUAGCACCCUAACCUCAGACUUCCAGUUCCAGAACUGUGAGAAAUAAAUUCUUGUUUAAUCCAAAAAAAAAAAAGAACCAAUAUAUGCAUUAUGGGAGUCCUUGUAGAAGGAGAAGAGAAGUGGCAAUAAACUUACUUAAAGAAAUAAUGGGUGAAAACAUCCCAAAUAUGUAGAGAGAUAUGGACCAUCCAGAUAAAUGAAUCUCAGAGUUCCCCAGUCAGUUUCAACAGAGAGAAAACUUCAACAGGACACUUUAUAAUCAAACUGUCAAAAUCGAAGACAGAGAUUUUUGAAAGCAGCAAAGAAAAAGCAGUUUGUUAUACACAAGAGAUUCUGGAGGAAUGUCGUGGGUUUCUUCUCAGAAACGUUUGUACCCUUUCCAUUAUAAACUCUGAGGAUCUAAUGUACAGAACAGUGACUAUAGUUAAUAGUAUUGUAUCACAUACAUGAAAUUUGCUAGGAGAGAUUUUAAGCAUUCUUACCAAAAAAAGUGAUGGAUGUGUUAAUUAACUUGAUUGUAGUUAUAUUUUCACAGUGUGUACUUAUAUCAAAUAAUCAAUUUGUAUAUUUUAAAUAUAUUUAUAUUUAAAGUACAUAAUAUAUAUAAAUUUAUUUUUUGUCAGUUGUAUGUCAGAAAAUUUUUAAUGAAGGCAAGAUCAGAUUUUUUCCAGGAGGAAAAAACAAAACAAAACAAAAAACCCUGAGUAGUUUAUCACCUCUAGAACUGCUUCACAGGAAGUCCUAAUGGAAUUCUUCAAUAAAAAUUUUAGGGAUUUCCCUCGUGGUCCAGUGGUAAAGAAUCCACCUUCCAAUGCAGGGGACGCGGGUUCGAUCCCUGGUCAGGGAACUAACAUCCCACAUGCAACUAAGCCUGCACGCCACAACUACUGAGCUCGUGCACCUCAACUACAGAGACGCCUGCACGCCACAAUGAAAGAUCCCACGUGCCACGAUGAAUAUCCCACGUGUUGCAACUAAGACUCGACACAGCCAAAAAUAAAUGUUAAAUUUCUAAAAAAUAAUAUUAAAAUGUGGGAGUAUAAUUCGUACUGUAAAGGCACAUAUAUAGUCAAACUCAGAAUACUCUAAUAUAGAAAGCUACAAAUUUCCAGUUAUGAGAUAAGUGCUGGAAAUGUAAUGUACAACAUGAUGACUGUAGUUAACACUGCUGUAUGGUAUAUUUGAAAGUUAGAGUAAAUCCUGAGAGUCCUCAUCACAAGGGAAAAAACUUUUUUGUUUCUGUGUAAGAUGAUGGGUAUUAACUAAGCUUAUGUGGUAAUCAUUUCACAAUAUAUGAAAGCCAAGUUAUUAUGCUGUACACCUUAAACUCAUACAGUGCUGUAUGUCGAUUAUAUCUCAAUAAAACUGGAAAAAAGAAUAUGCCAAUAUAGUAGUGGUAUGCAUAAAUCACUUUUAAGUCUAGUAUAAAAGGUAAAAGACAAAACUGUUAAAAUAACUGUGACUAAAUUGUGACAUCAAUAACAUAAUAUGUGGGUUGGAGAAGUGAAAUGUUACAAAUUUUUGCAUGCAACUGAAGUUGUCAUCAUUAGCUUAAAACAGAUGUUAUAUCUAUGUUUUAUGUAUGCCUCAUAGUAACCACAAAGAAAAAACCUCUAGUCAAUUCAAAACAUAAAGGGAAAGGAAUCACAGCAUACCACAAUCAAGAAAAAAAAAAGCCACAAAGGAACACAGGAAGAGAGGAAGUAAAAAAGGACUUUUAAAAAGUCAGAAAACAACAAAAUCACAAUGGUAACUCCUUACUAUCAAUAAUUACUCUCAGACAUAGGCUGAAAAUGAAUGACUGGAAAAAGAUAUUCCAUGCAAAUGGUAACCAAAAAUGGUAAGAAGGUAGCUACACUUAUAUAAGACAAAAUAGGCUUUAAGUCAGAAACUGUCAGAGAGACAAAGAUUGUCACUGCAUAAUGAUGAAGGGGUCAGUCUAUCAAGAAAAAUAUAAAAAUUUAAAAUUUAUAUAUAGCCAACAUCAGAGUUCCUAAAAAUAUAUGCAGUCUUUCACAGGUCUGAAGGGAGAAAUAGACAGCCAUACAAUAAUAGUUGGGGGACUUCAAUACCUCACAAUUAUGGACAGAUCAUUCAGAGAGAAAAUCAAUUAGGAAACAGCAGAUUUGAACUAUCAGUCCAGCUGAACCUAAGAGACAUAUACAGAACAUUCCAUCCAACCAGUAGAAUACACAGUCUUCUUAAAUACAUACAGAACAUUCUCCAGGACAGAUCAUAUGUUAGGCCAAAAUACAAGUCUUAAGAAAUUUAAUAAGAUUAAAAUCAUAUCAAGUAUCUUUUCUGACCACAAUUGUAUGAAACUAGAAAUUAGUAACAGAAAGAAAAUGAAAAAUGGAGAAUUUAAACAAUAUACUCUUGAGAAAAAUCACUCAAGUCAAAGAAGAAAUCAAAAAGGCAAAUUUAAAAUACCUUGAAACAAAUGAAAAUGGAAAUGUAACAUACCAAGUCUUAUGAGAUGCAGCAAAAGCAGUUCUAAGAGGGAUGUUUAUACCAAUAAAUGCCUGCAUUAAGAAAAAAGAUCUCAAAAGUCUAACUUCAUACCUCAAGGAACUAAAAAAAAAAAAACGAACACAGGCCAAAGUUAGCAGAAGGAAGGAAAUAAUUAUUAGAGAAGAAAUAUAUUAAAUAGAAACUAGAAAAACAAAACAUCAACAAAACUAAGAGUUGACUUUUUGAAAGGAUAAACAAAAUUGACAAAUCUUAAGCUAGACUAACCAUGAACAUAGGAGAGAAGACUCAAGGAAAGAAAAUUGUACAUAAAAGAGGAGACGUUACAACUGAUGCCAACGAAAUGAAAAGGAUCAAAGGAGACUACUAUGAACAACUGUAUGCCAACUAUUAUGGAUAAGCUACAAGAAAUGGACAAAUUUCGGGAAACAUACAGUGUACCAUGACUAAAUCAUGGAGACACAGUAAAUCUCAACAGACCAAUGAGUAAGGAGAUUGAAUCAGUAAUCAAAAUCCCAGGACCAGAUGGCUUCACUAGUGAAUUCUACCAAACAUUUAAAGAAUUAAUGCCAAUCCUUCUCAACCUCUCCCAAAAAAUUAAAAGAGGAGAAACACUUCCAAAUGCAUUGUAUGAGGCCAGUGUUUUAAACUGAUACCAAAGCCAAACAAGGCUACUACAAGAAAACUACAGGAUUUCCCUGGCAGUCUCUAGGAUGCAAUGAUGUUCAACCUAUGCAAAUUAAUAAAUGUGAUAUACCACAUUAAAAUGAGUGAUAAAAAGCAUAUGAUCUGAAUAGAUGCAGAAAAAGCAUUUGAUGAAAUUUAACAUUCUUUCGUGAUAAAGAUUAAACAAAUUAGGUAUAGAAGGAACUUACUUCAACAUAGUAAAGGCCCUAUAUGACAAAUCCACCAUUAACAACAUAGUUAGAAAAGCUGAAAGUUUUUCCUCUAAGAUUAGGAACAAGACAAGGGUGCUCACUAUCACCACUUCUAGUCAACUAUCACCACUUCUAGUCAACAAAGUAGUGGAAGUCCUUGCCAGAGCAAUUAGGCAAUGAAAAGAAAUAAAAGGCAUUCAAAUUGGAAAAGAAGAAAAACUGUCUCUGCAGUUGACAUGAUAUAUAGAAAUCCUAAAGACUCCACCAAAAAACUGUUAGAACUAAUAAACAAAUUCAGUAAAGUUGCAGGAUACAAAAUUAAUAUACAAAAAUUAGUUCAAUUUCUGUACACCAAUGAACAUUCUGAAAAAGAAAAUCCUAUUUACAAUAGCAUCAAAACCAAAAAAUACCUAGAAUAAAUUUAACCAAGGAGGUGAAAGAUCUGUGCACUGAAAACUAUAGAGUGAAAGUAAAAACUAAGUGAAAGAUUGAAGACACAAACAAAUGGAAAUUUAUCCUGUGUUCAUGGAUUGGAAGAAUUAAUAUUAUUAAAAUGCCUAGAUUUAAUGCAAUCCCUAUCAAAAUUCCAAUAGCAUUUUUUAUAGAAAUAGAAGAAACAAUUUUAAAAUUAAUAUAGAAUCAUAAAGACCCUGAAUAGCCAAAACAAUCUUGUACAAGAACAAAGCUGAUGGCAUCAUACUUCUUGAUUUCAAAAUACACUACAAAGCUAUACUAAUAAAAACAGUAUAGGGCUUCCCUGGUGGCGCAAUGGUUGAAAGUCUGUCUGCCGAUGCAGGGGACACGGGUUCAUGCCCUGGUCCGGGAAGAUCCCACAUGCCGCGGAGCAGCUGGGCCCGUGAGCCAGAGCCUGUGCUCCGCAACGGGAGAGGCCACAACAGUGAGAGGCCCGUGUACCGCAAAAAACAAACAAAAAAAAAAAAACA